rnacentral:misc_RNA from 1 species
GAUGAAGAACGCAGCGAAAUGCGAUAAGUAAUGUGAAUUGCAGAAUUCAGUGAAUCAUCGAAUCUUUGAACGCACAUUGCGCCCGCCAGUAUUCUGGCGGGCAUGCCUGUUCGAGCGUCAUUUCAACCAUCAAGCCCCCCGGCUUGUGUUGGGGACCUGCGGCUGCCGCAGGCCCUGAAAAGCAGUGGCGGGCUCGCUGUCACACCGAGCGUAGUAGAUCUCAUCUCGCUCAGGGCGUGCUGCGGGUUCCGGCCGUUAAACCACCUUCAUAACCCAAGGUUGGCCUCGGAUCAGGUAGGAAGACCCGCUGAACUUAAGCAUAUCAAUAAGCGGAGGA